rnacentral:lncRNA from 1 species
AGUUAUGUUGGAAGGUGUAAUAUGCGACUCAAGGUCAAAAACAUCAGGAAGCUUUGAACUUGCCAUGGAAGAAUAAGGAAGCGUACCUGAGAACUCGAUGGGAUGAAAAACCGUACAAGAAGUUGCAGGAAGACAGAGAGCAGACAAGAGCUAGUUCUUCAAAAGACAGAAGGAAUUCGAAAAGAAAGGCAAUUAUGAGGCAGGGCAUUGAUCUGAACAGUUUUGUUUUGGAGCGGCACGAUCAUUAAUUAUUCUCGAAGUUUACCCUCUCAACGGUUAGGUAAUAACCGGCGAGACGGUAAAGGGGCAAAAGGAUGAUCGCUGGGCUUAUCUACAUCUAUCAAGGGCCAAGUAUACGAUGACAGCCCAUCAUUUAAAAGCCCAUUCGCCAUCCACAUAAUACAGGCCCAACUCAUCAGUCAGAGCAACUUAACCUACUACUUUACCAUCCCUAUGGUAAAUGCCGAGGAAACAGAGGGGCAAGUCAUGAAAAGACUCAAAAGUACAAGCAAAUGGGAGCAUGAUAAAGGUCAGACUUGCUCAUCACUUAAAAAGUUAUAAGAUUUGAUUUAUCGUUAUUAAACAAAGGAUGUGAGAUCGGAAAGAGGCGCCAAGAGCACCUCGGAAUCAUACAGAGCUGAGAGCUUAGAGUUCAACUCAUCAGAAG